GACGAACGCUGGCGGCGUGCUUAACACAUGCAAGUCGAACGGAAAGGCCCUGCUUUUGUGGGGUGCUCGAGUGGCGAACGGGGGAGUAACACGUGAGGAACCUGCCCUUGACUUUGGGAUAACUUCAGGAAACUGGGGCUAAUACCGGAGAGGAGCUCCUGCUGCAUGGUGGGGGUUGGAAAAUUUCGGCGGUUGGGGAUGGACUCGCGGCUUAUCAGCUUGUUGGGGGGGUAGGGGCUUACCAAGGCUUUGACGGGUAGCCGGCCUGAGAGGGUGACCGGCCCCAUUGGGACUGAGGUACGGCCAAGACUCCUACGGGAGGAAGCAGUGAGGAAUAUUGCACAAUGGGCGGAAGCCUGAUGCAGCAACGCCGCGUGCGGGAUGACGGCUUUCGGGUUGUAAACCGCUUUCGCCUGUGACGAAGCGUGAGGGACGGUAAUGGGUAAAGAAGCACCGGCUAACUACGU
rnacentral:rRNA from 1 species